CUACGGGUGGCUGCAGGCGAGAAAACUUUGCAAUGUGCGAAAGCACGACAAGGUUAAUCCGAGUGGUCUCUGCUAAAGGGACCUUUUGACAGUCCUAGAAACACUGUUGAAUAAGGGGUGGGCAAGUUCUGGUGUCAGCCGCCGCGGUAAAACCAGCACCUCAAGUGGUCAGGAUGAUUAUUGGGCCUAAAGCAUCCGUAGCCUGCUUUGUCAGUUUUCGGUUAAAUCCAUACGCUCAACGUAUGGGCUGCCGGGAAUACUGCAAAGCUAGGGAGUGGGAGAGGUAGACGGUACUCGGUAGGAAGGGGUAAAAUCCUUUGAUCUAUUGAUGACCACCUGUGGCGAAGGCGGUCUACCAGAACACGUCCGACGGUGAGGGAUGAAAGCUGGGGGAGCAAACCGGAUUAGAUACCCUCGUAGUC
rnacentral:rRNA from 1 species